AGUGCAUGCUGGAGAGAAACUAAAACUAAAGUAUCAAUCUCGUUACACUGGUAUCCAUACCAACGUUGAUAUCGAUAUUAUCAAUAUUUGGAUUGAUCCGCCAAACACUAGCUCAGAGAGGCUAUGUUACGUUAGUAGUAGCAUACUGCUGGUGGUCUUGCAAUGGGUUUACCUGUACUAAUAAAACUGUACAGUAGAAACAAUGUGGCCACACUGCUGUGAAAGCUCCCCGAACGUCAUUAACUAGUCUGGUUGUUACCCCUCUCCACGGCAGUCUAGCUAGCUAGCUAGACUACCGGACCUAAACUGUCUCUAGCUAGAGCUAACCGCUAGUCAGAGCUAAUGGUUGCUAACCAAGCCUUCAGUUUUCCAUGCCUGUAUCCAUUAACUAUAUUUAUGAAAUCUGCUCAGAUGAGAUCUGAAUGAGUGCCAAAGGACAGGUACAGUACAGAACAGAGUGUUUAGGAUCCCCCAAUCCCCAAACAGAUUAAUAAACUUAAAAAAACAAACAAUGAUCUAACUAACAAAACGAACAAGAAUUAACUUUAGAUAGACCUCUUAUAUGAUUUAACAGGAGUUAGGAGGAAAUAGUGUUGAGAUUAAUAAUAACAUUUAACUUUAUUUUUGGAUCAUAGUAUAGUAUUACAGGUAUCUUAUCUGCUGA